UACGUAAGAGACUAGUGUUAUUCAUCUUAAUUAGGUUUAAAGGGUACCUAGACGGUCAAUAUAGCUUCUAAAAUGUUAGUACUUGACUAGAGUUUUAUGUAAGAGGGCAGUACUUGAGGAGGAGAGAUGAAAUUCUAUGAUACCAAAGGGACUCGGUAAAGGCGAAGGCAGCCCUCUAUGUAAAAAACUGACGUUAAAGGACGAAGGCACAGAGCACAAACAGG
rnacentral:rRNA from 1 species